rnacentral:rRNA from 1 species
GUCGAACGGUAGUAUGGUGCUUGCACUAUAUGAGAGUAGCGGACGGGUGAGUAACACGCAGAUAAUCUACCCUUGUGUUGGGGAUAGCUUAUGGAAACAUAGGGAAUACCGAAUACGGUCUUAGAAUCGAUAGGGUUUUAAGAAGAAAGGUGCUACGGCAUCGCACGAGGAGGAGUCUGCGGUAGAUUAGCUAGUUGGUAAGGUAAAGGCUUACCAAGGCGACGAUCUAUAGCCGGCCUGAGAGGGUGAACGGCCACACUGGGACUGAGAACGGCCCAGACUCCUACGGGAGGCAGCAGCUAAGAAUCUUCCGCAAUGGACGAAAGUCUGACGGAGCGACGCCCGUGAACGAAGAAGCAGAGAUGUUGUAAAGUUCUUUUAUCGGAGAAUAAUGAGAGGA